rnacentral:rRNA from 1 species
UAGCGUAUAUUAAAGUUGUUGCAGUUAAAAAGCUCGUAGUCGGAUUUCGGGUCGGGCCGAGCGGUCUGCCGAUGGGUAUGCACUGUUCGGCGCGGCCUUCUUUCCGGAGACCGCGGCUACUCUUAACUGAGCGGGACUGGGAGACGGAUCGUUUACUUUGAAAAAAUCAGAGUGUUUCAAGCAGGCAGCUCGCUCUUGCAUGGAUUAGCAUGGGAUAAUGAAAUAGGACUCUGGUGCUAUUUUGUUGGUUUCGAACACCGGAGUAAUGAUUAACAGGGACAGUCAGGGGCACUCGUAUUCCGUCGAGAGAGGUGAAAUUCUCAGACCAAUGGAAGACGAACCACUGCGAAAGCAUUUG